rnacentral:rRNA from 1 species
GCAAGUCGCACGAGAACGCUUCAGCUUGCUGAAGUUAGUAAAGUGGCGCACGGGUGAGUAACGCGUGGGUAAUCUUCCCCCGAAUUGGGGAUAACAUUGCGAAAGCGAUGCUAAUACCGGAUAAUAUCUCAAGCACUCAGGUGCCUGAGAUCAAAGGUGGCCUCUACAUGUAAGCUACUGUUUGGGGAUGAGCCCGCGUACCAUUAGCUUGUUGGUAGGGUAAUGGCCUACCAAGGCUGCGAUGGUUAGCUGGUCUGAGAGGAUGAUC